rnacentral:rRNA from 1 species
CCUUGAAAUACCACCCUUUAAUGUUUGAUGUUCUAACGUGGACCCGUGAUCCGGGUUGCGGACAGUGUCUGGUGGGUAGUUUGACUGGGGCGGUCUCCUCCUAAAGAGUAACGGAGGAGCACGAAGGUUGGCUAAUCCUGGUCGGACAUCAGGAGGUUAGUGCAAUGGCAUAAGCCAGCUUGACUGCGAGCGUGACGGCGCGAGCAGGUGCGAAAGCAGGUCAUAGUGAUCCGGUGGUUCUGAAUGGAAGGGCCAUCGCUCAACGGAUAAAAGGUACUCCGGGGAUAACAGGCUGAUACCGCCCAAGAGUUCAUAUCGACGGCGGUGUUUGGCACCUCGAUGUCGGCUCAUCACAUCCUGGGGCUGAAGUAGGUCCCAAGGGUAUGGCUGUUCGCCAUUUAAAGUGGUACGCGAGCUGGGUUUAGAACGUCGUGAGACAGUUCGGUCCCUAUCUGCCGUGGGCGCUGGAGAACUGAGGGGGGCUGCUCCUAGUACGAGAGGACCGGAGUGGACGCAUCACUGGUGUUCGGGUUGUCAUGCCAAUGGCACUGCCCGGUAGCUAAAUGCGGAAGAGAUAAGUGCUGAAAGCAUCUAAGCACGAAACUUGCCCCGAGAUGAGUUCUCCCUGAGACUUUAGGUCUCCUGAAGGAACGUUGAAGACGACGACGUUGAUAGGCCGGGUGUGUAAGCGCAGCGAUGCGUUGAGCUAACCGGUACUAAUGAACCGUGAGGCUUAACCUUAC